rnacentral:rRNA from 1 species
GACGAACGCUGGCGGCGUGCCUAAUACAUGCAAGUCGAGCGAAGUUUUUCUGGUGCUUGCACUAGAAGAACUUAGCGGCGAACGGGUGAGUAACACGUAAAGAACCUUCCUCAUAUACUGGGACAACUCUUGGAAACGAUAGCUAAUACCGGAUAACAGUAUUUCUCUCGUAUGAUGGGUUUAAAAGUUGUUUAUUUUCACACUAUGAGAUGGCUGUGCGGUGCAUUAGCUAGUUGGUGGGGUAAAGGUCCACCAAGGCGACGAUGCAUGGCCGACCUGAGAGGGUGAUCGGCGACAAUAGGACUGAGAAACGGCCCAGACUCCUACGGGAGGCAGCAGUAGGGAAUCUUCCGCAAUGGGCGAAAGCCUGACGGAGCAACGCCGCGGGGGUGAAGAAGGAUUUCGGUUCGUAAAGCUCUGUUGUUAGGGAAGAAUGGAGAUGUAGUAACUAUACAGGUAAGAGACGGUACCUAGACAGAAAGCCACGGCUAACUACGUG